UACGUAGGGCGCGAGCGUUAUCCGGAAUUAUUGGGCGUAAAGAGCUCGUAGGCGGUUUGUCACGUCUGCUGUGAAAACUGGAGGCUCAACCUCCAGCCUGCAGUGGGUACGGGCAGACUAGAGUGCGGUAGGGGAGAUUGGAAUUCCUGGUGUAGCGGUGGAAUGCGCAGAUAUCAGGAGGAACACCGGAUGGCGAAGGCAGGUGGCUACGGAUUUAUUUGACACUGAGGCACGAAAGCAUGGGGAGCAAACAGG
rnacentral:rRNA from 1 species